UAGAGGAGAGAUUACAUGGAAGAUACUUCCCUUUUACCAGCUAAGGCCAUCCAUCCUAAACCAGCCUGCAGCCACGCAGCCCCCAAACGUAUGAGAGAUCACAGCCAAGAUUAUCAGAACAGCCUCCUUGAUCUGCCACAGCCUAUAGAAGCAUGAAUGAGUCCGGCCAAGGCUACAAGUACACCCAGCUGACCUGGAGACAUAAUAAAUAAUAAAUGUUUGUUACUUUAGGACACUGAAUUUCAAGAGGAGCAAAGACUCCACUCCAGGGUUCAGAAGAAGCUGACCGUGUUUUGCUCAAGUCUCAAGUCUCGCCAGCAAAGUGCAUUCAUUCUCAUCUCUUUCAUAAUACAUGAUACCAGGAAACACAACCACCAUCUUGCCUUCAUACAUGAAUAAUGAUGAUGAUGAUCAUAAUGGUGAAAUGAAAUUAAUCGUGAACUAAGCAUGUUAAAGCAGGAAGACAGAAGGAGCCAGAAUUCCUAUUGGCAAUGAAAUGAUAUGAAUCAAAGCCACCAAUGCCCCAUUGGUUCACGGAAAGCAGCAGUGUCUUACUCUAGAUUCCUUUUAACUCUGAGGGAACAGGGAAUAAAUCUUUAUUUCUGAA